rnacentral:rRNA from 1 species
UACGGAGGGAGCUAGCGUUGUUCGGAAUUACUGGGCGUAAAGCGUGCGUAGGCGGUUCGUUAAGUUCGUUGUGAAAGCCCCGGGCUCAACCUGGGAACGGCAAUGGAAACUGGCGGGCUGGAGUAUGGCAGAGGGGGGUGGAAUUCCGCGUGUAGCAGUGAAAUGCGUAGAGAUGCGGAGGAACACCGAUGGCGAAGGCAGCCCCCUGGGCCAAUACUGACGCUCAGGCACGAAAGCGUGGGGAGCAAACAGG